GAGGUCAUCAGAAUCAGAAUCAUUUAUUUGUCAUUGUAAAACAUUGUCACAACGAAAUUGAAGUGCUACUCCUUCUGGUGCCUAGAAGUAUACAUUCAUAC